rnacentral:rRNA from 1 species
GGCUGCAUCCCGACCACCCUGAACGCACCAGAUCGAGUCUGAUCUCAGAGGCUUAGCGGGGCCACGCCUGAUUAGUACCUGGGUGGAAGAAAUGAUGAAGCUGAGAAUCUGAGCGAGCAGUUU